AGCGGAGCUGUGGCUAAUGGUGUUGUGUCUGGUGUCCGUGGUAAACGCCCACGUUGAGAUUAUCAUUCCCAGGGGGAACUGAGAAAGGUUUUGCCAGCCCAAGCCCUCAGGGUGUGAGCGACACACUUCAGGGGUCAAGGAUCUGUCGCUGGGGGAUUCGACUGAAGUGUGAAGAGGGGUGUAUGUGGGAGACAUGCUGAGAAUUCUAAAUAGUCCCCCCAGCCAGCUCCCCGGGCCCCCGAAGAGGAACCAGCGGCAUGAUGUCACACACCUGUUUGGCUGGAGGCUGCGGCCCGGCGAUGCUUGCAGCCGUGGGUGUCGCGUUGGCACCCCUCGGCCUCCCCCACCCCACCCUUGUCGCUGCCUGCUACGCCCCGUGGAUGUGUCAAAAUGGCAGAUGAUGGUUGGGGUGUGUGCAGCUGCUUGGGAAGAGGAGUGCCAAGGGCGCUCAUUUCCUGCGGAAACUCUUGGAAGGCAAAAGCAACAUCCUGAGUUGGUGAGGAGACAGGAGAGGUGCUGACAUGCCGACAGGCAGGGGAUCCUGGGAAAAGCCACAGACAGGAAGAGCCUGACUGACUUUGACCCCUGAGGUCAAGGCUGGGGGCUCGGCAACUGAAAGAUGUUUCCAAGCCACACUCAGGCUAUCAUAGAGUUUUACAGGAAAUAGCUUAGAAAUACUGUACGCUGUGAAAUGUGGGAGAUCUUUUUAUUGCUUGUUCUUUUGUUUUGCUCUCUGUGAUAUAAAAUGCAUUUUGGCCCUGAGCUAUAUUUGACUUAUUUGUUUGAGGGUUACUGUAUGUAAUUGAGUUGAG